CAAGCAAAUUGCAUCUAACUUCUCCUUCAAAAUGAAUCUUAUGUUCAUUGUGCUCAUAGAGUUUGGUUAUAUUGUUCAUAACUGUAUUUCUAUGUAACAUAUCUUAACAAGAACCAAAUGUCUCUGAUAUUCUGAGAGAGACUUUCAGANNNNNNNNUAUUGCAAUCUAACAAGAGUAAUGGACAUCCAACACAGAACACACGUAACAAGCAUCAUUU
rnacentral:misc_RNA from 1 species